UCCAGUGAAUCAUCAAAACUUUGAACGCAUCUUGCGCUUCCGGGAUAUGCCUGGGAGCAUGCUUGUCGGAGUGUCUGUUGACACCACUCGCCCGUCCCCUCUUUCUUGCGAAAGGCAGGGGGGCCGAGGCGGACUGUGCGUGUUCCGGAUCGCUCGCGCUCCGAGUGCACCUAAGCUCGUGAACGAAAUGAUACCCUCCCCAGCUGUCGCUGCACGGAGUUGUUGACGGAGCCCGCCAAACUUUUGGCGCCUCCACUGACGACUCACCCAAACGUGGCUGCGAACUCACGGCUCGGAGAGGGCCCCAUCAUCUCUACCGACCGGCCCCCGUGAAUCUUAGAUUCACGAGGACCGCCCUACUUUCGUUCGGACCUCCGAUCAAGCAAGAGGACCCGCUGAAUUUAAGCAUAUAACUAAGCGGAGGAAAAGAAACUAACCAGGAUUCCCCCAGUAACGGCGAGUGAAGCGGGAAGAGCUCACGUUGUAAAUCUGGCUUUCGGGCCCGAAUUGUAGUCUGGAGAGGCGAGGCCAGCCGGCGGCGGGGGCGAAGUCUCUUGGAAAAGAGCAUCAAGGAGGGUGAAAAUCCCGUUCUUGCCCC
rnacentral:rRNA from 1 species